AGAUUUUAGUGGCGAACGGGUGAGUAACACGUAAGCAACCUGCCUUUAAGACGAGAAUAACAAUUGGAAACAGUUGCUAAGGCUGGAUAGGAAAUAAAAAGGCAUCUUUUUAUUUUUAAAAGACCUUCUUCGGAGGGUAUGCUUAAAGAGGGGCUUGCGUCACAUUAGUUAGUUGGUAGGGUAAUGGCCUACCAAGACGAUGAUGUGUAGCUGGACUGAGGAGGUUGAACAGCCACAUUGGGACUGAGACACGGCCCAAACUCCUACGGGAGGCAGCAGUAGGGAAUUUUCGGCAAUGGAGGAAACUCUGACCGAGCAACGCCGCGUGAACGACGAAGUACUUCGGUAUGUAAAGUUCUUUUAUUGAAGAAGAAACAAUAGUGGAAAAACUAUCUUGACGUUAUUCAAUGAAUAAGCCCCGGCUAACUAUGUGCCAGCAGCCGCGGUAAUACAUAGGGGGCGAGCGUUAUCCGGAAUUAUUGGGCGUAAAGGGUGCGUAGGCGGUUUAAUAAGUCUCUAGUUUAAUUUCAACGCUUAACGUUGUCCUGCUAGAGAAACUGUUUGACUAGAGUGAGAUAGAGGUAAGCGGAAUUCCAUGUGUAGCGGUAAAAUGUGUAAAUAUAUGGAGGAACACCAGAGGCGUAGGCGGCUUACUGGGUCUUUACUGACGCUGAUGCACGAAAGCGUGGGGAGCAAACAGGAUUAGAUACCCUGGUAGUCCACGCCGUAAACUAUGAGUACUAAGUGUCGGGGUUAAACUCGGUACUGAAGUUAACACAUUAAGUACUCCGCCUGAGUAGUACGUACGCAAGUAUGAAACUUAAAGGAAUUGACGGNGAUCCCGCACAAGCGGUGGAUCAUGUUGUUUAAUUCGAAGAUACACGAAAAACCUUACCAGGUCUUGACAUACUCUGCAAAACUAUAGAAAUAUAGUGGAGGUUAUCAGGGAUACAGGUGGUGCAUGGUUGUCGUCAGCUCGUGUCGUGAGAUGUUAGGUUAAGUUCUAAAACGAGCGCAACCCCUGUCGUUAAUUGCCAGCACGUUAUGGUGGGGACUUUAGCGAGACUGCCAAUGAAAAAUUGGAGGAAGGUGGGGAUUACGUCAAAUCAUCAUGCCCCUUAUGAUCUGGGCUACAAACGUGAUACAAUGGCUAUUACAAAGAGUAGCUUAAACGCGAGUUUUUGGCAAAUCUCAAAAAAAUAGUCUUAGUUCGGAUUGAAGUCUGCAACUCGACUUCAUGAAGUUGGAAUCGCUAGUAAUCGCGAAUCAGCAUGUCGCGGUGAAUACGUUCUCGGGGUUUGUACACACCGCCCGUCAAACCACGAA
rnacentral:rRNA from 1 species